rnacentral:rRNA from 1 species
GUCCACGCUGUAAACGAUGAAUACUAGGUGUUGGGUUUAAACUCAGUGCCGCAGCUAACGCAUUAAGUAUUCCACCUGGGAAGUACGAUCGCAAGGUUGAAACUCAAAGGAAUUGACGGGGCCCGCACAAGCAGUGGAGCAUGUGGUUUAAUUCGAUGCAACGCGAAGAACCUUACCUAGGCUUGAAAGGCAAGUGACAGGGUAUGAAAGUACCCCUCCAGCAAUGGCACUUGUACAGGUGUUGCAUGGCUGUCGU